AGUUUAUAUAGUUUUCUUUCUUCAGCAGAAGAGGGCCGAAACAUGAAGUAAUUAAUCUUUCUGAAGCGAAUAUCACUCGCGAUAAUGAAGCUGUUGUCGCAAGAAAGAGAUUAGGCUCAAGCUCAAGCCUAAUUAAGACCCAUUAGGAUUGGUUACAAGCAUGGAUAAGACUGAUGGUCCCAAUUUUGUUUCGAUAUCAUUACAAAAGCAUAAUUAUGGCUAGGACUAUGCAAAAUCUAAGUCUGAAGAGAUCUCAAAGAUGAAAAGAUCUUAUGAACAAUUUAAGGAACAAUUGGGUCAACAAUUAUUUGUGUCUCAGUGUACCAAAGUGAACAUGUGGGCUAUAGCAAUCAACAUAUGUUAGAAAGCAGCAUACACCACUAAAAUGUGAUAAUUAGUGGAUCAGUGUUAAUGAACAUCUUAUCUAACUUAAUGGAGUAGUUAUGUUGAAGCAAGUUUGAUUAUAAUGCUGAAUAGUUAUUUCACGAACCAUAACUUACAAAGUAUUGAUAGUCUGACAUUUAAACGAUCACCUAAAGACUUCUGCGAAUUUCUAUCACUGUUGAGGUCUUGAACAUAUAGUUUGGUGCAUGCUUCUACGUUUCUUCUGUUCGGCUUCUGGGGCGCCUUCCCCCGGUCUGUUAUGUUGGUGGUGUUGGUAAACAUAAUUCGCUAAAUUAUGGUGAAGUUUAUUUUUACUGUUCUCCUUUGUUUUCUUUAUCCAAAUGUAUUUUAGUUUUUGCUUGGGGUGGGUAUCUCUUUCUGGUCAAUCAUGUCUGUACAGGGGAGUGAUAUGCUUAGUCAUUUUGUAUAUAUAACUGCACCAACAAUAUUAUUGUACUUA